CAGCCGUAAACGAUGUGCGUUAGGUGUGUCGGUAACCACGCGUUACUGAUGCGCCGAAGAGAAAUCGUGAAACGCACCACCUGGGAAGUACGGUCGCAAGGCUGAAACUUAAAGGAAUUGGCGGGGGAGCACCACAACAGGUGGAGCCUGCGGUUUAAUUGGAUUCAACGCCGGACAUCUCACCGGAUAAGACAGCUGAAUGAUUGUCAAUCUGAAGGUUUUACAUGACUAGCUGAGAGGUGGUGCAUGGCGUAGACGUCU
rnacentral:rRNA from 1 species